CAAUAUAUAGUUCGGUUCCUUGUCUUGUUUUGAACACUUGCUUACUUUACUUAUUAGACGGAAACGGACGGUGACGCUCUCUUUUGCUUUUGCCCUCCGCCCGCCCGCCCGCAUGUACAGCACAGCACAGCGCAGGGCGUCUUUGUCUUUUGUCUCCCGCUCCUACUAAUAAUAAUGUACCCCGCGGAGCAGCAGAAGGAGACGGCUCCGCAACGGGUGUGUAGUGAGCGGUCAUCUCAUGAGAUGGAGUGCGUGGUGGUAGCUGUUGAACUGGGCUCGACUCGUGGAGCGAAGGAGGCGACGAGUGAGUCAGGAGCGGUAGUAGAGGAAGAAAGGUCGAAAAGAAACAUCGACGGAGGAGGCCAGGAGGGGGAGGGGGCGGGCGCGGGACAGGGACACCUGACACGGGGGCGAACGAAACGAGCGACGGAAAGGGGGAGGGAGAGGAGAAAGAAUUUUCCGACGGGGGAGCGUGGAGGAGGGAGAGAGAGAGAGAUGAAGAAGAGAGAGAGAGAGAGACGGAACCGUACCGGCGGACUCCAGUUUAUGGGUAGGGCGAAAGAGAGAGAAAGAGCGCGUUAGAAACAGGGUCUAAGGUUGGGAGUGGGGAGGGGAGGUAGGUAAAUAUAAUGACAGACGGACGGACGAUCACGAGGCGAAGUAGAGAAGGGGUACCGGUACCGAAGGUGCCGCCGCCUGUCGCUCGGGGCCUGCCUCGUUUUCGCGGCGAUCGAACCGAAGAUUCAAGACUCCGAGACUGGAGGGAAGAGUGGGUGGGGUGUGGAUGGAUAGUCAUGUCAGUGACUCAUCGUUCGAGUCGAGUCGAGCCGAACUGAACUUCACCACGCAUCUUCAACCAACAACCAACGCGCCUCUCCUCGCCUACCUCUCGUCUACCUCCUUCCGGUUCUACAGCGACCCCGAGUUGGAGACGCAGAUGCACGGCGCCUGCGACCUGCUGGACCUGCGGCCGGGCGGGAGGUGCCCGAGGAGGUGCCGGCGCGAGCAGAGCGGCCGCCGGAGGAGGAGGAGGAUGCGGUGGUCGCGGUUGUGGUGGGGGUGGCGGCUGGGCGGGUUGCCGUCGCGGUCCCCGGGGCCGCGCGAGUACGGGUGGUGGGGCUGCGGGUGGAGGCGGCCGGAGGCGGAGAGGUUCAGGCCGUCGUUCAGGAAGUUCUUUUGUACACGCUAUACGAACUGGUAUUACUUUGGACCAGUCCCGGUACGAGAUAAGUGCCGUCUCACGAGUGUAUGGAAAGUGAAGGUAACAUAUAGACGUUUACAAUUCGUACCUUCGUUGUUAACAGGUCAAACAGCGUGGCUUACCUUCCUUGAAGGUAAAGCACCGGGCGACCAACGACGUUAGGGAGUUCCUUCACGUUCCUAAUUAGGACAAUUACCCGUCGUUUUACCGCCGGUGUACUGCGAUAACGCUGGUGAGGGAGCACGAGCAAGAAGACCAGCGGAAGUAGUACAUUGAACAAACAACGGACUGUGUCUGGCUUCACAAAAGUUACUACUACUUGGGAACCUGAACACACUUCGUUGGCUACUGGUAGUCGUCCCUACAAGUUCUUGUCAUCUCUAUUGCUGUGUGGGACUCAAGUGACUUUAUGGUCUUUCAUGAAGUCUUUCUUCGAAGUGACAAGAUUAAGUAGAUUUCCGUGGGGAACGAGUCUCAAACGUGCAUGGACCUCUACUGUCAUCGGGUUUGUGACCAGCUCGGGGCCAACUAGAAUAGUGUCACGAACUACAGUCACCAUCGUACCGACCAUGGUUUGAACGUAACGACUUCUCCCGGUACCCCAAACAGUAAGUCUUGGAACCGAGGAGUCUGGCCGAAAGACAGUAGCGGAAGAGUAGUAGACGUGCGUCCGAGAAGGGAGAAGCAGCCUACUGGCUUAGACCAGCAUUCGUUUCGAACGAUCGUCAGUUAAGAGACUGCAGUUUACCACCGUGGUUGUAACGACUCCCAGACUCUUUUCCGAGGUUUCACUAACUUCUUGCUGUCCGGUUCUUAGGUCAGACGUCGUAAUAGGAAAAUAGUCUGCCCGUUCUGUGUAUAUGUCAGAGUGGUUCGUGCCCACGUGUGUUUGGUAAAUGUCAGAGUGGUUGACGGACACGUGUCUUUCGUAGUCGCCUCAUGACACGCGAGAACGGUAGAUGAUUACCGUCAGUCGUCCAUGGUCAAGUACAGAAGCCCAAGCCACGACUGGUACUACGUCAAAGCGAGGUAAGCUAGAGAGUUUGGAGACCACCCUGGAAAAGUAAGUAGCUCUGCCUCCGAUGGUAGGUUCUACGUAAGCGGGUUACAUAACCACCUGAGAACUCACACCAGCGUGUCCUAAACGCACAUUUCCACCUCUCACACGUGGGACUACACGUGAAACCAAGGUAGUCUAGUCCAUCGAUGAGGUCGUCUUAACGUCUACUAUUCUCCUUACCCAGGUAACUACAACCACUGGACAUACGACUUCUCCUUUCCCUAAAAGAGUACUGAGACUUGCAAGGGGUUCCGACACCGCUUCUUUGCCGUGAAGAGUUUCAACCAACACAGAUGUUUCUAGGCGACUACUUCCUCUGGUAGUUGUACCGACUCCACGUCCACUUCUAGAGAUCCGGACGCAAGCACAGCCACGUUUGGCACAGCUAGGUCCACCUGGCCGUCUUCUUGGCAGAAGUACGUCGUCUCCACUACCGGCGCCGUUCCAAGAGGCGCCUCGCACCGCUCGACCGUGUGCGCCAGAGCGACGAGCUCCUGACGGCCUCUUACUAGUACCCCAGACGCAGCCCCGUCAGGCCGCUGGCCGACACGGUCAGCGACCUGCGCCUCGACUUCCUCUACGUCCUCUCCUACCGCUCGGCCGUCUCCAUGCUCCGCAGGCCCGCGCGGAUGCACGACAGCCCGGACUCGAGCGUGAGCACCGUCUCCCGCUGGCGGGCGCCGCUGAGGUGCCUGUCGCUCUCGGACUAGGUCCGAAUGGUCUGCUGCAGCUACCAGCUGUACCAUGACGCGAGGGUCUGUGACUGGGCGAGCAGCUGGGGCUUCGUUUGGGGUGUCUACUCCGUGCGGUUCAGCAAGGGCCGCGCGGGCGUCGGAUCCAUCCAUUUUCUUUGGCGCGGGGCCGUGCUAGCCGCGGCUUUAUUCCUAGAAAUCGACUUAAAUCUAAGACACCUUCGUCGUCAUCACCACACUCAACCUAAGAACCAAAAACAACCCCACACACCCCCACUACCCUAACCCAACCCCCACCAUGUUUACCACACCAUAUUCCUCUACAUUUAAACAAAACCCCCGACCACCACCACCACCCCCACUCCCAUAUACCUCUCUCAAUUCAAUUCCACUCCAUUAAGACAUGACAUCACCCAAUCUCUCCCCCCGACCCCGACCAUAUUCACACGACCCCCUUUUACCCAUUCCAUCCCCCCUUCUUCCACAACACGACACGACACGACACGACACAACCAAUGAACCACAAUCCCCCCAUAUGAGGUCAUAACAACAUACAUGACGAUCGAGAGGAAACACACCACCAACGACCCACCACUACAUGUAUUUCUCUACCAUAUGUAAACACUAGGCUUGGCUUGACUUAGGUUGAGAAACCACUUGACUACGUACCUACGUAUGGAUUAGAAACAACGUUCCGAUCAGGUUAGACGGGGACCCAGACUUGUACCAAUUAAACGUUCGAGACUUAGAAUAAAAAUGACAUGAAGUCAUGAAACCGUCAAGAGAAGAGGACACGACUACCUACAACCUCCGCAACCACCCGUCCACUACGAUGACUAAAGCGUACGGACAGCGCAUACCUCUACUCGACCAUCUUCAUGUAGUGUAUAAAAGUGUAUGGAGCCCACUUAGACAACCUACCGCCGCUAACGAGCAGCU
rnacentral:rRNA from 1 species